ensembl:snoRNA
ACUCUCUUGGCUCUGUAUAGUUACACCUGGCUUCACUUGAGUGAAAGUGCAAGUGGGAAGAGAGAGAAAAGAUCUCCAUGGUACCUCAACUUGGCUUUAUGGUGGCCUCUUUCCUUGAAGGAUGCAACAGGA